ACAAUUCUCUAACACU
rnacentral:tRNA from 1 species